rnacentral:rRNA from 1 species
ACGAACGCUGGCGGCGUGCUUAACACAUGCAAGUCGAACGGAAAGGCCCCUUUGGGGGUACUCGAGUGGCGAACGGGUGAGUAACACGUGAGUAACCUGCCCUUGACUUCGGGAUAACUUCAGGAAACUGGGGCUAAUACCGGAUAGGAAUCCUUGCUGCAUGGUGGGGGUUGGAAAGCUUCGGCGGUUUUGGAUGGACUCGCGGCUUAUCAGCUUGUUGGUGGGGUAGUGGCUUACCAAGGCUUUGACGGGUAGCCGGGCUGGGAGGGCGACCGGCCACAUUGGGACUGAGAUACGGCCCAGACUCCUACGGGAGGCAGCAGGGGGGAAUAUUGCACAAUGGGCGGAAGCCUGAUGCAGCAACGCCGCGUGCGGGAUGACGGCCUUCGGGUUGUAAACCGCUUUCAGCAGGGGCGAAGCUUGUGGUGACGGUACCUGCAGAAGAAGCACCGGCUAACUACGUG